GACGAACGCUGGCGGCGUGCUUAACACAUGCAAGUCGAGCGGUAAGGCCCUUUCGGGGGUACACGAGCGGCGAACGGGUGAGUAACACGUGGGUGACCUGCCCUCAGCUCUGGGAUAAGCCUGGGAAACUGGGUCUAAUACUGGAUAUGACUCCACGGUGCAUGUCGUGGGGUGGAAAGCCUUGUGCGGCUGAGGAUGGGCCCGCGGCCUAUCAGCUUGUUGGUGGGGUGANGGCCUACCAAGGCGACGACGGGUAGCCGGCCUGAGAGGGCGACCGGCCACACUGGGACUGAGACACGGCCCAGACUCCUACGGGAGGCAGCAGUGGGGAAUCUUGCGCAAUGGGCGAAAGCCUGACGCAGCGACGCCGCGUGAGGGAUGACGGCCUGGUUGUAA
rnacentral:rRNA from 1 species